UGGUGUUAAGUUGUCUGUAUAGUUAAAAUGUCUGUCUUUUUUUAUUGACCCAAUAAACUGAUAGACCAAAUGAAUAUAUAGUGUACAUGUGAUUUUCAGCACCCUGGUGUUUUCGAAAAUUGAUUCAAUGUGCAAUGAACAAAAAAAAUGAGUAAAACUCUUAAUAAUGUAAUUGGUUGAUGUAAUCGAAAUUGGACAGUAUUGGUUAACUGAAAAGUAACCAAUCAAAUUUAAUUGAUCAUCCACGUGUAUCUCAUAAUCGACUUAUUGAUAUAAUGGUUCUCCAAGUUAUCUAUACUUUUUGUCUGCGCUAUCACUUCGGUGGAAGCGGACGUAAAAUACAACUAACUAAGAAGAAGUAUCUAUACUUUAGUCAUUGCGACAAAUUCUUUCUUUGAUAUUAUAUCAGCGACAUUCAGUUAGAUGUAGUGACGUUAGCAUCAACAGAGUGCUUUAGCCGUGAUAUUUUUUUAAAAAAAAAUUAUAAUGGUCACAUAGAAUACCAGACCGCAGGUUUGUAAAUUUUUACAAAAAAUAAAACCGUGUAUUUAAUUUAGCAUGUAUAUAUUGCUUCUAUGUAUAUAAUAAUUCGUUUCGUUUAAAACAGUCAGAUUUAGAACCACUGCCACUGACUGCACCGGAAUUCUAUUUAUAUAAUGGCGCCACAAAGAAAUUUUUUUUGAUGUGUUCUAAAAGUGUUCCGCUAAUUCAGCAAUCUAAUGAAUCUGUCUUAAUUUUUCUGAAAUCGUGCUUAAUUAUUAUUAGCUAAUCGGCGCUACACCGUUGUUCAAAUACUUAUAAUUGCAAGAAACCCCCGACUAGGACCAGCAGGUAAGAAUCUGUCUUGAUUUUAUAGUAAUGCCCGGUUGCAAUUAUUGGCCGCCAUCUUUGAUUUUUAUAGACGUUCGGGCCAAAAAAAAGGAGAAAUGUAUAUCCAGACAUGGACUAUAGCUAGAUACUAACUUUUGUGUUAGUUGUUUAUUUGAAAUGUAAUCUUAAUAUUUCUGUAAAAGAAAAAAACAACAACAAACAAAUCAGCCUUUUUUUUUACAUCAAUGUCAUCAAUGUGUAGGCCUAAUAAUUAGACUUUCAAUGAUUCAGAAGUUUCUCUACAGUUUCGUUAUUUUUUUUCCAGUCAUUGAUGUUAGCAUGUACUACACAAAGAAAAACAGUUUCCAUAUUAGAUGCCAUAGCAAAUCAAAGAUCAUAUAAUAAAAUAAGUCAAAAAACCCAAAUAUGGGAAAAAAAGAGCUGAAGAAAUGGUGAUUUGAGCACCUAUGAUUUCUCAUAGUUGUUUUUUGAGGAAAGAUCAAGACAGUUGAAAAUGGCUAUUCAUAUUAUGGAAACUUUUUCUCACAGAGCUUGAUAAUCAGGUAAAAUGCUGGAAGAUUAUUUGAUGUAUGAUAACAACAAGAGAUCCCAAGCAUCAAUUUAUUUUAAAAUUCUGGAAAAGAAUGCAUUUGACCCAAUUUUUGAAUAUUUAUUUUUUGUUUUUACUGUUAAAUAUUCUUCCCAAACACAAUUAGAUUUUAAUUCUCUACAGAAAUUUAUGUAUAAUAUAGAAUGUAAAGUGACAUAUUAAUCACUUAGAAUUUGGUCGGAAAUCAUAAAGUAUUUAAUAGGCAUAAUCUAGAAACCAAAUGUAGAUCAAAUAUACCCAGAAUUACAAAAAACCUUGACCUACAUUAAGGUGACUUUCCCUUGCUUAUGAAAUGAAAUAGGGUUUAAGAUCCUACUUUUCUGUGUUAAUAUGGUGAUUCUGCCCUACAACCUACUCUUAUAUCAAAUAUUUCAACUGUCAAGGGUUGUUUAAAGGGAACCCAGGAGGGCCGAAUGGUUAACACACGCACAUUGGAUCAGAAGGUCUGUCAUUGAGUCAGAUAAUUCAAUUGUCAAGGGUUCUUUAAAGUAAACGCAGUGGGGAUAGUUUCAAUUCCGGGCUUAUACCCAAUUAUCCCUUGCCAUGUCCUACACUACUGACGUGUGGGAACUAUGUCGGAAAAUCCAAUUGAAAUUUCUCGGCCAAUGCCUUAUACUCACUGAACCACAGUGACUCCUCCUUGCUUUUGACUUGUGAUUAUUUAUAUAUAUUUUGUACAUAUUAUUUAAUGUUUGCGAUUUUCUCUGAUAUUUUUUUAUUUUUCAAUCCUGUAAUCUUGAUGCUUUGCUCCUUUUAUGUACAAAAUAUUCAUUUUGUUUGUUGUUUUUUUUAAUGAGGAAAAGGUUCUACAUCAUUUUAUUACUCCUGCAAAAUAGUGCAUUUUUCUUUUGUUAGUUUUCUGUGUAUGCUAGUUAUUUCUAGAUGCCUCACAAAUCACUUGUAAUAUGACUUUGUAGCACUUUUCAGUUUCUGAAAGUAUUUCAAUUUAGUGCAUAAUUAAUCUAAUUAGGGCUUAG